rnacentral:misc_RNA from 1 species
GGCUCAGGUGUUUGGGCAGGACUAUAUUGGUCAUUUUAAGAAAAAUGCAGAAGAAAUCAUCUGUACCCUUAAGCAUCUAUGUAAUAGGGAAAGCCAGUACAUAUUUCAAACAAGCAAAAAGGCAUAUGUUGCCCAGUGAAUCCUCAUUUCUUUUAGAAGCAUAUUGUCCUUUAUCAGUUUACUUUCAUCAGGUCCAUAUGAUCAUUUAGGUCCACUGGCCUUUUGUGUUUUAUAAAGACAAAAAUUGUUGUCAAGAUUAUUAUGAAGUACUAUUAUUUGUUUUUGAUCAUAUUGGUAAAUAUAUUAUUUUUGAUGUAUUUUUAUAGUGUGGAAAUCCUUUAUUUUGAUAAUAAAAGCUUGGAAAAAU